rnacentral:lncRNA from 1 species
GAAGCCAGAGGUCUGAAUAAAUUGACAUUUCUUACCCAGGCAAGCCAAGAUAAUGGACCCAGGAGGAGGCCCUCAGUAGCUUCUAAUCUUCUAGGCUGAUACCUAUCUUAAGCUGCAGGAGUAAAUGUUAAUAAGUAUGCUCUAUACUCUUUCAUAUACCUAUUCUGCAAUGUAGUUUGAACUGACCGGCUCACCUUUCUGCAGAAGUUUUUUAAGACUACCAGCUGCCUGUUUCAGUCAACAUUUAAUUUUGCAGUUCUUACCAUUCUUUCAAGCCCUUUUAUGAUACACUCUGAAAUUCAAGUUCUGUCUGAUUCCCAAGGAAUAUGAAGUCAGUAUUUUUUGACCAUAGAUACCCUGUAUGU